rnacentral:rRNA from 1 species
UACAGAGGUCCCGAGCGUUGUCCGGAAUUACUGGGCGUAAAGAGCUCGUAGGUGGUUUGUCGCGUUGUUCGUGAAAACUCACAGCUUAACUGUGGGCGUGCGGGCGAUACGGGCAGACUUGAGUACUGCAGGGGAGACUGGAAUUCCUGGUGUAGCGGUGGAAUGCGCAGAUAUCAGGAGGAACACCGGUGGCGAAGGCGGGUCUCUGGGCAGUAACUGACGCUGAGGAGCGAAAGCGUGGGGAGCGAACAGG